GACGUAGGGCGCGAGCGUUGUCCGGAUUUAUUGGGCGUAAAGAGCGUGUAGGCGGCCAGGUAGGUCUGCUGUGAAAACUCGAGGCUCAACCUCGAGAUGUCGGCGGAAACCAUCUGGCUAGAGUCCGGAAGAGGAGAAUGGAAUUCCUGGUGUAGCGGUGAAAUGCGCAGAUAUCAGGAAGAACACCCGUGGCUAAGGCGGCUCUCUAGUACGGUACUGACGCUGAGGCGCGAAAGCGUGGGUAGCAAACAGG
rnacentral:rRNA from 1 species